rnacentral:rRNA from 1 species
GAUGAACGCUGGCGGCGUGCCUAAUACAUGCAAGUCGAGCGAACGGACGAGAAGCUUGCUUCUCUGAUGUUAGCGGCGGACGGGUGAGUAACACGUGGAUAACCUACCUAUAAGACUGGGAUAACUUCGGGAAACCGGAGCUAAUACCGGAUAAUAUUUUGAACCGCAUGGUUCAAAAGUGAAAGACGGUCUUGCUGUCACUUAUAGAUGGAUCCGCGCUGCAUUAGCUAGUUGGUAAGGUAACGGCUUACCAAGGCAACGAUGCAUAGCCGACCUGAGAGGGGGAUCGGCGACACUGGAACGGAGACAGGGUCCAGACUCCUAAGGGAGGGAGCAGUAGGGAAUCUGACGCAAUGGGCGAAAGCAUGACGGAGCAACGCCGCGUGAGUGAUGAAGGUGUUCGGAGCGUAAAACUCGGUUAUUAGGGAAGAACAGAUGUGUAAGUAACUGUGCACAGCUUGACGGUACCUAAUCAGAAAGCCACGGCUAACUACGUG